rnacentral:snoRNA from 2 species
GAGCAGGAUUCAGACUAGAAUAUAGCUGUUAAGUGCUGUAUUAUUCCCCCUGCUCAAAAUAAAGUUGUGGUUUCUUCUUACCUAUACCUUUCUGUUACACCCAAAUAGCAGCUAGGGCACUUGGUCACAUACAU